rnacentral:lncRNA from 1 species
UUAUAAUUUGAUUAAAGAAUACAAAAAUCUGAACAAACUUCUUGUCUUCACUAAUCAGAUGAUCAAAGUCUUCUAAUCAAUAAUAUACAGACUUUGUUUUCAUUUCAAUUAUGUCUAAUUAAGAAAGAGAUUUACAUUAUUUUGCCCCAGGUUAUAUAUUGUACUCCAUUGGCAGUUUUAUAACCUGUAAAUAGGGUGGUUAUCCAAACAAAAGGAUUAAUUCAAUAUAAUUAUAAAUUUUGAUC